CCCUUAGAUGUUCUGGGCCGCACGCGCGCUACACUGAUACGUUCAGUGAGUAUAUAACCUUGAUUGGAAAAUCUGGGUAAUCUUUUGAAUGCGUAUCGUGCUAGGGAUAGAUUAUUGCAAUUAUUAAUCUUGAACGAGGAAUUCCUAGUAAACGCAAGUCAUCAGCUUGCAUUGAUUACGUCCCUGCCCUUUGUACACACCGCCUGUCGCACAAACCGAUUGAAUGAUUCGGUGAAAAUUUUGGACAUCGAGAGUGGUGAUUAAUUUCGCUGCUCUUAAAUGGAAAGAAUUUAAACCUAAUUAUUUAGAGGAUUGUGAAGUCAUAACA
rnacentral:rRNA from 1 species